rnacentral:rRNA from 1 species
AUGGGCGAAAGCCUGACGGAGCAACGCCGCGUGAGUGAUGAAGGUUUUCGGAUCGUAAAGCUCUGUUGCCAGGGAAGAACGUCCGGUAGAGUAACUGCUAUCGGAGUGACGGUACCUGAGAAGAAAGCCCCGGCUAACUACGUGCCAGCAGCCGCGGUAAUACGUAGGGGGCAAGCGUUGUCCGGAAUUAUUGGGCGUAAAGCGCGCGCAGGCGGUCAUUUAAGUCUGGUGUUUAAACCUUGGGCUCAACCUGAGGUCGCACUGGAAACUGGGUGACUUGAGUACAGAAGAGGAAAGUGGAAUUCCACGUGUAGCGGUGAAAUGCGUAGAUAUGUGGAGGAACACCAGUGGCGAAGGCGACUUCCUGGGCUGUAACUGACGCUGAGGCGCGAAAGCGUGGGGAGCAAACAGGAUUAGAUACCCUGGUAGUCCACGCCGUAAACGAUGAGUGCUAGGUGUUAGGGGUUUCGAUACCCUUGGUGCCGAAGUUAACACAGUAAGCACUCCGCCUGGGGAGUACG